rnacentral:misc_RNA from 1 species
GAUGAAGAACGCAGCGAAAUGCGAUAAGUAAUGUGAAUUGCAGAAUUCAGUGAAUCAUCGAAUCUUUGAACGCACAUUGCGCCCCCUGGUAUUCCGGGGGGCAUGCCUGUCCGAGCGUCAUUACAACCCUCAAGCUCAGCUUGGUGUUGGGCCCCGCCGCCCCGGCGGGCCCUAAAGUCAGUGGCGGUGCCGUCCGGCUCCGAGCGUAGUAAUUCUUCUCGCUCUGGAGGCCCGGCCGCGUGCCCGCCAGCAACCCCCAAUUUUUUUCGGGUUGACCUCGGAUCAGGUAGGGAUACCCGCUGAACUUAAGCAUAUCAAUAAGCGGAGGA